rnacentral:rRNA from 1 species
GAUGAACGCUGGCGGCGUGCCUAAUACAUGCAAGUCGAACGAGGUGCUUUUGUAGCAAUACGAGAGUAUCCUAGUGGCGAACGGGUGAGUAACGCGUUGGUGACCUACCCCAAAGUGUGGGAUAACAGAUCGAAAGAUCUGCUAAUACCGCAUGUGGUCUUCGGAUUUAGAAACUGAUGACUAAAGGAGCAAUUCGCUUUGAGAGGGACCUGCGUCCCAUCAGCUAGUUGGUGAGGUAACGGCUCACCAAGGCGACGACGAGUAAGGGAGCAGAUAGGGUUGCCACCAACAAUGGAACUGAAACACGGUUCAUACACCUGCGAGUGGCAGCAGUAGGGAAUAUUGCUCAAUGGGCGAAAGCCUGAAGCAACAACGCUGCGUAUGUGAUGAAGGCCUUCGGGUCGUAAAGCACUUUUCUGAGGGAUGAGAAAGGACAGUACCUCAGGAAUAAGUCUCGGCUAACUACGUGCCAGCCGCCGCCGUAACAC